GGCAAGAUGGCCGAGUUGGUCCAAGGCGUCAGGUUAAGGUCCACCUUAAUAACCCAGCUUCCACUAGCUUCCUGAUCAUCGUAAGAUGGCGUGGGUUCGAAUCCCACUCUUGUCA
rnacentral:tRNA from 1 species